UGAGGAAUAUUGGUCAAUGGACGAGAGUCUGAACCAGCCAAGUAGCGUGCAGGAUGACGGCCCUAUGGGUUGUAAACUGCUUCUGUUUGGGAAUAAUCGACAUUACGUGUAAUGUUUUGCAUGUACCAUUCGAAUAAGGACCGGCUAAUUCCGUGCCAGCAGCCGCGGUAAUACGGAAGGUCCAGGCGUUAUCCGGAUUUAUUGGGUUUAAAGGGAGUGUAGGCGGUUGGUUAAGCGUGUUGUGAAAUGUAGAUGCUCAACAUCUGACUUGCAGGGCGAACUGGCUGACUUGAGUACACACAAAGUAGGCGGAAUUCAUGGUGUAGCGGUGAAAUGCUUAGAUAUCAUGAAGAACUCCGAUUGCGAAGGCAGCUUACGGGAGUGUUACUGACGCUUAAGCUCGAAGGUGCGGGUAUCGAACAGG
rnacentral:rRNA from 1 species